GCCCCCGUGGCUCAAUUGGACAGAGCGCCUGGCUUCGAACCAGGAGAUUCUAGGUUCGAGUCCUAGCGGGGGCA
rnacentral:tRNA from 1 species